rnacentral:rRNA from 1 species
GAGUGGCGGACGGGUGAGUAACGCGUGGGUAACCUGCCCUGUACAGGGGGAUAACAGUCAGAAAUGACUGCUAAUACCGCAUAAGACCACAGCACCGCAUGGUGCAGGGGUAAAAACUCCGGUGGUACAGGAUGGACCCGCGUCUGAUUAGCUGGUUGGUGAGGUAACGGCUCACCAAGGCGACGAUCAGUAGCCGGCUUGAGAGAGUGAACGGCCACAUUGGGACUGAGACACGGCCCAAACUCCUACGGGAGGCAGCAGUGGGGAAUAUUGCACAAUGGGGGAAACCCUGAUGCAGCGACGCCGCGUGAGUGAAGAAGUAUCUCGGUAUGUAAAGCUCUAUCAGCAGGGAAGAAAAUGACGGUACCUGACUAAGAAGCCCCGGCUAACUACGUGCCAGCAGCCGCGGUAAUACGUAGGGGGCAAGCGUUAUCCGGAAUUACUGGGUGUAAAGGGUGCGUAGGUGGUAUGGCAAGUCAGAAGUGAAAACCCAGGGCUUAACUCUGGGACUGCUUUUGAAACUGUCAGACUGGAGUGCAGGAGAGGUAAGCGGAAUUCCUAGUGUAGCGGUGAAAUGCGUAGAUAUUAGGAGGAACAUCAGUGGCGAAG